rnacentral:rRNA from 1 species
GAUGAACGCUAGCGAUAGGCUUAACACAUGCAAGUCGAGGGGCAGCAUGGUCUUAGCUUGCUAAGACUGAUGGCGACCGGCGCACGGGUGCGUAGCGCGUAUGCAACUUGCCUCACAGAGGGGGAUAACCCGUCGAAAGACGGACUAAUACCGCGUACACUUGGGAUAGGGCAUCCUGACCCAAGGAAAUGAAAUUCGCUGUGAGAUAGGCAUGCGUCCCAUUAGCUAGUUGGUGAGGUAACGGCUCACCAAGGCGACGAUGGGUAGGGGAACUGAGAGGUUGAACCCCCACACUGGUACUGAGACACGGACCAGACUCCUACGGGAGGCAGCAGUGAGGAAUAUUGGUCAAUGGGCGAGAGCCUGAACCAGCCAAGUCGCGUGAAGGAUGACUGUCUUAUGGAUUGUAAACUUCUUUUAUACGGGAAUAACAAGAGCCACGUGUGGCUCCCUGCAUGUACCGUAUGAAUAAGCAUCGGCUAACUCCGUG